AACAAACCUAUUUUUCUUCAUCAUCAACAGCAUCCUUUUUUUUUUUCAUAUGAUCAUGGGAACCUCACACAGUUGGAUGGAUGCAUCUGGAUGCUGGCAGCAUAUUCAUCAUCCUCAGGAGGAGAAACUGUGCUGCAGUUUCUGGGAGCUGAAAGAGCAUGCUGAUUAGUCAGUGACACCUGGGGGAGUACGACUGAGGAGUGAUCCUUGAGCUACUUCAGAUGGUGGUGGAAGUUCUACCUGCUGUCAAGAGGCUGCAGGAGGGAAUUGUCUGUUCAAGUGACUUAGAACAGAAGGAAACAGAAAAAUCUGAAAGGAGUCCUGAUGAGACGCCUGCGUGCAACCCACCUCCUCCCCAUCACUGCCUUUCUUCACUCAGGCUCUAUUCAAGCCACCUUCGUCUCUGGGGGGAUCCUGCUCUAAUGCCUUUCACAGCUGCGGUUUUGUUCCACUGAGACAGGUCUAACUGCCAAAAACCUAUAUCGAAAUUCUGUUCAUCAAUAAAUCAUGUUCAUUCUUUCUAAUGA